rnacentral:rRNA from 1 species
AUUGAACGUUGGCGGAAUGCUUUACACAUGCAAGUCGAGCGGCAGCACGGGGGCAACCCUGGUGGCGAGCGGCGAACGGGUGAGUAAUACAUCGGAACAUGCCCAGUCGUGGGGGAUAACACUUCGAAAGAAGUGCUAAUACCGCAUACGUCCUGAGGGAGAAAGCGGGGGAUCUUCGAACCUCGCGCGAUUGGAGUGGCCGAUGUCAGAUUAGCUAGUUGGUGGGGUAAAGGCCUACCAGGGCAACGAUCUGUAGCUGGUCUGAGAGGAUGAUCAGCCACACUGGGACUGAGACACGGCCCAGACUCCUACGGGAGGCAGCAGUGGGGAAUUUUGGGCAAUGGGGGCAACCCUGAUCCAGCCAUUCCGCGUGAGUGAAGAAGGCCUUCGGGUUGUAAAGCUCUUUCGGCAGGAACGAAACGGCGAGCUCUAACAUAGCUUGCUAAUGACGGUACCUGAAGAAGAAGCACCGGCUAACUACGUGCCAGCCGCCGCCGUAAAAC